UCAGGGCACAACCGCAGUGUAAACGCUACGUGAAAAAUUAUAAGAUUCUUCGCGAUCAGUUGGACCUGAGUCGGCUUAGGUCCGAUGUGGCAGUGUAAAUUAAGCGUUUAUCUUCAGAGUGUAUUAACACCAACACCCAUGGUCUUUCGAAUCUGCCAUAAACAUCUGAAAUGUCCUUGGGAUGUUUUCAGUUUAUUGCCUUAAAAGUUCUCUGCUCUGGAGAUUAUGUUUCUACCUCAGUGUCUGGCUGUGCCAGUAUGUGUACCGUGAGAUAUACUACAGCUGUCCCAGAGGUGGAAGAUCAGGUCAAACCCUGCCUUUAAAUUCAUUACUGUGGCUGUGGGGAUGGACCAUGCUCCCACUUGUCUCACUAGUAAGGUUGGUAUAAGACUAGAUCUGUUAGGCUAGAGAUCUGCCCUUCCUUUACUGUACUGCCAUUUGAUCUCAACUGGUAUGAGACCAUGCUUACUUUUGAGACUGUGAUGCAGUGUGUGGACCAGUGUCUGUUGUUCUAAGAUGAAUAUUGUGUGGUUUCACUUUUGUAGUUUGUCUUGUCUCUGCUGGAACAUGAACAUCAAUGAAAUGUAACAAAAUAAAAAGGCAAAACAUUUUGUUUAGCUAAAAACUGCAUUACAGAUGAAAUAUCCACUGUAUUGAACAGGUACAAUACAUUUAUUUUGCUGGAGGAAACACACCAAACACGACCAUAAUUAACUCCUUGUGCCAUUUCUGCAUAAAAGACACACACCCCUGUCUUAUAUUUAGUACAGUAUCUGUGAAACUGUUCAUGUACAUUUAGGAAAGGAAGUGAAAUACACUCUAAUUAUGCAUCUGUUGGUUAACCACUGAUGUUUCUAAAUCUGCCCACAAAUAUGACAUAUCUCACAUAAUUAGAUGCAAAGUCAUAAGGCUGCUGGGAGAUAACAUUCUUAUGUUGUAGAAAGUCCAUAGUGAGUCUAUAUAGAAAAACAUAAUUAAAUGAUUCCCAUAAAGUUUGAUCCUUUAUUGUCACAGUAAUUUUUCUACUUGUGCAAUUAAUAUUUUCCCUUUUAUAUGUUUUAUAUCUAGGUAGACAGUUGUAGACAAUUCUGCUUAUAAGCUUAAUAGUUCACCAUAUACCUGUCUAAUUUGCACAAAAAAUGUUCUAUGUAAAAUCCUAUAACCUGAAUAUUGUGUGCAACUCCUAUAUAACUAUAUUUUAUAGAUAGAUAGAUAAAUAUAGAUGCCAGGCUAAAAUGGGGCUCAAACACAAAAUGUUAGAAUAUUACAUUUUUUUAUUCUCAUAAUACACAAAGUGAACACUCAACCCCCCUCAAUGAAUUCAGAGCCCUACAGAACACCAGAGUCAUACAUAACCCUCUGUGGAAGGUAGCAUGAUGCAAUACCAUCAGGAGAAAUAGGAAGGUCACUGUACACUUUCAUGCUUCUAUUGAAUAUUUUAGUAGCAAAUACAUAAAAACAGCCAAUAAAGGUUUCUGUUAAUUCAGCUUAAACAAAAGCAAAGAAUGUUUUCUACACGACUCUUUAACAGACUAAAACAUUUACAAAUAAAGGUUAGUUGCUGAAUAUACUGUACACUUCUCAAUCAUGAUAAUGCUGGAAUGUAUUCUUACAUUGGUGACCUUGUGUGGCAAUGUGCCCCGCCCCUGUGUGCAUUUCUGUGUUAUAUGUUGCAUGUGGUGUGUUAAUGUUGGUGUAUAGAUAUGGCUGCACGGGAUAUGAAUGGGUGUGUGCAGCACAAGUUAUUUAAAAUGUAUAAUUGUAUUUAGGCACAGGGAUUGCACUUCACUUCACAUGCAUUUAAAGUAUUUAAUAUGUGAGCACGGGGUUGCACAUAAUUAGUUCACAUGCUGGGAUUCAAGUGAAUAAUUAAUUAGUAACUGAAUCCCGGCACAACAGUAUAUAUAGAUGCAUGUUUUACUCACUCUGGGUUGGGUGUUCGGUGAGUAGAGAGCGGGAGAGAGGAGGAGAGUAAAAUAAAGUGAAAUAAUUCAAAAUAAUUCAUAACAAUUGCUAUUUACGAUACUUGUUUGUUUUGACUCACCGUGUUUGUUUGUCUGUCCGUCCACUGUCUGUUUAGUGUUAGUCCGUUUUGUUUGUCUAUUUAUUUUGGCCUCAAGUGCCAUGUCCUGUGUUUUGUUAAACCUUUUUGUUUGUUUAUUAAACGCACUGAGCGCAGCCAUUGCACUUCAGUUUCA